CCAGAAUUCACUCUUACACCUUAUGCUAUGCUGCCAGUUAAAAAAUUACUUAGCUUGAAAGAUCCCUUGAGAGCCACCUAAGCCGUUCUUAUGUAUUUAACUGGAUCUUACAAAGCAGAUCUCAAGAGAAAAUAGAUAUAAGAACACUGGAGACUUAACUAUCAACAGAGAUAACAGUGAUGAAAAAUACACAUAAAACAGAGAAACGUGAGAUUUGGGUACCAGUAUAUGAAAAUUGUUAACUCACCUGGGGGAAAAAAGCUUUGGAAGUCCAUGAAAAUACGUCCAAAUCCCUGACUCCUUGGCUAGCAUUAAAGAUAUUCUGAGCGACAAAGUUUAAGAAAGAGAAAUAUCAACAAAGAAAGGGAACAGGAUAUCAACUGCAGAAAGAUGCGUUCACAGUACAACAUUUUUCUGUGUUCUAGCACCAAGAGAGAAAUGUUAUUUUACUAAAGGGAAACUGAAGCCACCUGAGUAAACCAUACAUCAAGGAAAUUCUGUUAAAUAAACUUUUUUGGU